CUUGACUGUAUCCUGGAAUUGGGUUCGGGCUUUUCUUGCGCAGCCUAGGUGGGAGGCUAUGAAGAUUUCCUUCCGGGGAAGUUGGAGCCAUCAGUGAGAGACCACUCUGGAGAGGCUAGAAUCCUAAUGGUGAUCCUUGAAUCAGGACACUUGACAGUUUCAGGUGGGCAGUUUGUUUGGGGCGAACGCCUCAUAAAAGGUAACUGAGGCGCGCAAAGGUCCCCUCAGUCUGGACGGAAAUCAGACAUUGAGUGUAAAGGCAAAAGGGGGCUUGACUGCAAGACCUACAAGUCGAGCAGGAGCGAAAGCUGGCCUUAGUGAUCCGACGGUGCCGUGUGGAAGGGCCGUCGCUCAACGAAUAAAAGUUA
rnacentral:rRNA from 1 species